UACGAAGGGGGCGAGCGUUGUUCGGAUUUACUGGGCGUAAAGCGCGUGUAGGCGGGUCCUUAAGUCAGGGGUGAAAUGCCGGAGCUCAACUUCGGAACUGCCUUUGAUACUGGGGAUCUUGAGUCCGGGAGAGGUGAGUGGAACUGCGAGUGUAGAGGUGAAAUUCGUAGAUAUUCGCAAGAACACCAGUGGCGAAGGCGGCUCACUGGCCCGGAACUGACGCUGAGACGCGAAAGCGUGGGGAGCAAACAGG
rnacentral:rRNA from 1 species